UACGUAGGGGGCGAGCGUUGUCCGGAUUUAUUGGGCGUAAAGAGCUCGUAGGCGGUUUGGUAAGUCAGCUGUGAAAGUCAAGGGCUCAACCCUUGAAUGCCGGUUGAUACUGUCGGGCUAGAGUCCGGAAGAGGCGAGUGGAAUUCCCGGUGUAGCGGUGAAAAUGCGCAGAUAUCGGGAGGAACACCAAUGGCGAAGGCAGCUCGCUGGGACGGUACUGACGCUGAGACGCGAAAGCGUGGGGAGCAAACAGGG
rnacentral:rRNA from 1 species